AAAGAUAUUGGUAGCUUAUAUAUGUUUGCUGGGUGCCUGGGCCGGCAUGGUGGGCACUGGGCUAAGGGCGUUGAUUCGAAUUGAGCUGAGACAGGCGGGGUCCAUUGUUGGUGACGACCAAAUCUUUAAUGUAAUUGUAACUGCACACGCCUUUGUUAUAAUUUUCUUUAUAGUAAUGCCAAUUUUGAUUGGCGGAUUCGGGAAUUGGCUGGUGCCGCUUAUGCUUGGGUCACCAGAUAUGGCGUUUCCUCGGCUGAAUAAUAUAAGAUUUUGAUUCUUAGUUCCAGCACUUGUGUUGUUAUUGCUUAGCGGUAUAGUGGAGAUGGGGGCAGGAACAGGGUGAACCGUUUAUCCACCACUGAGGGGUAAUCAGGCGCACGGUGGGGCGUCUGUAGAUUUUGCUAUUUUUUCUCUACACCUAGCUGGAAUUUCCUCAUUAUUGGGGGCUGUAAAUUUUAUCAGUACCCUAGGAAACUUGCGCAGAUUUGGUAUAUAUCUGGACCGUAUGUCCCUAUUUUCAUGGGCGGUGCUAGUUACUGCCGUGCUAUUGCUAUUGUCGUUACCUGUGUUGGCUGGGGCAAUCACCAUAUUGCUUACUGACCGCAACUUGAACAGGAGAUUUUAUGAUGUUGGUGGGGGGGGUGACCCGGUGCUGUAUCAACACC
rnacentral:rRNA from 1 species